UACGUAGGGUGCAAGCGUUAAUCGGAAUUACUGGGCGUAAAGCGUGCGCAGGCGGUUGUGCAAGACCGAUGUGAAAUCCCCGGGCUUAACCUGGGAAUGGCAUUGGUGACUGCACGGCUAGAGUGUGUCAGAGGGGGGUAGAAUUCCACGUGUAGCAGUGAAAUGCGUAGAGAUGUGGAGGAAUACCGAUGGCGAAGGCCAGCCCCCUGGGAUAACACUGACGCUCAUGCACGAAAGCGUGGGGAGCAAACAGG
rnacentral:rRNA from 1 species